rnacentral:rRNA from 1 species
AUUUUGGACAAUGGGGGAAACCCUGAUCCAGCCAUCCCGCGUGUGUGAUGAAGGCCUUCGGGUUGUAAAGCACUUUUGACAGGGAAGAAAUAGCAGGGGCUAAUAUCCUCUGUGAAUGACGGUACCAGUAGAAAAAGACACGGCUAACUACGUGCCAGCAGCCGCGGUAAUAAGUAGGGUGCAAGCGGUAAUCGGAAUUACGGGGCGUAAAGGGUGCGCAGGCGGCUAGGAAAGAAAGAUGUGAAAACCCAGGGCUCAACCUUGGAGCUGCAUUUUUAACUACCUAGCUAGUGUAUGUCAGAGGGGGGUAGAAUUCCACGUGUAGUAGUGAAAUGCGUAGAGAUGUGGAGGAAUACCGAUGGCGAAGGCAGCCCCCUGGGAUAAUACUGACGCUCAGGUACGAAAGAGUGGGGAGCAAAAA